rnacentral:rRNA from 1 species
CAAUAGCGUAUAUUAAAGUUGUUGCAGUUAAAAAAGCUCGUAGUUGGAUUUCUGGUGGGGGUGUUUGGCCGGCUCUAAUGAGUUUUGCGCCUAUACGUCUCCGCCAUCCUUGGGGAAAACUUGCUUGGCAUUAAGUUGUCGAGUUUGGGAUCCCCAUCGUUUACUGUGAAAAAUUAGAGUGUUCAAAGCAGGCUUAUGCCGUUGAAUAUAUUAGCAUGGAAUAAUAAGAUAGGACUUUGGAACUAUUUUGUUGGUUUGCGUUACAAAGUAAUGAUUAAUAGGGACAGUUGGGGGUAUUCGUAUUUCGUUGGUCAGAGGUGAAAUUCUUGGAUUUCCGAAAGACGAACUACUGCGAAAGCAUUUACCAAGGAUGUUUUCAUUAAUCAAGAACGAAAGUUAGGGGAUCGAAGAUGAUCAGAUACCAU